GGCGAAAGCGUGAUGCAGCCAUGCCGCGUGUGUGAAGAAGGCCUUCGGGUUGUAAAGCACUUUCAGUCGUGAGGAAGGGGUAGUAAUUAAUACUUACUACCUUUGACGUUAGCGACAGAAGAAGGACCGGCUAACUCCGUGCCAGCAGCCGCGGUAAUACGGAGGGUCCGAGCGUUAAUCGGAAUUACUGGGCGUAAAGCGUACGCAGGCGGCUUGUUAAGCCAGAUGUGAAAUCCCCGGGCUCAACCUGGGAAUGGCAUUUGGAACUGGCAAGCUAGAGUUUUGUAGAGGGUGGUAGAAUUUCAGGUGUAGCGGUGAAAUGCGUAGAGAUCUGAAGGAAUACCAGUGGCGAAGGCGGCCACCUGGACAAAAACUGACGCUCAUGUACGAAAGCGUGGGGAGCAAACAGGAUUAGAUACCCUGGUAGUCCACGCCGUAAACGAUGUCUACUAGUUGUCUGUGAGUUUAACUCGUGGGUAACGCAGCUAACGCAUUAAGUAGACCGCCUGGGGAGUACGGCCGCAAGGUUAAAACUCAAAUGAAUUGACGGGGGCCCGCACAAGCGGUGGAGCAUGUGGUUUAAUUCGAUGCAACGCGAAGAACCUUACCUGCCCUUGACAUACUGAGAACUUC
rnacentral:rRNA from 1 species